rnacentral:rRNA from 1 species
ACUCCUACGGGAGGCAGCAGUCGAGAAUUUUUCUCAAUAGGGGAAACCCUGAAGGAGCGACGCCGCGUGGAGGAUGAAGGCUUUCGGGUCGUAAACUCCUGUCAUUAGAGAACAAUGUGCAUGGGUUAACUGCCUGUGCAUUGAUAGUAUCUGAAGAGGAAGGGACGGCUAACUCUGUGCCAGCAGCCGCGGUAAUACAGAGGUCCCAAGCGUUGUUCGGAUUCAUUGGGCGUAAAGGGUGCGUAGGUGGUAGACUAAGUCGGAUGUGAAAUCCCAGGGCUCAACCCUGGAACUGCAUUCGAUACUGGCCUGCUCGAGGACUGGAGAGGAGAUUGGAAUUUAUGGUGUAGCAGUGAAAUGCGUAGAUAUCAUAAGGAAGACCAGUGGCGAAGGCGGAUCUCUGGACAGUUCCUGACACUGAGGCACGAAGGCUAGGGGAGCAAACGGGAUUAGAUACCCCGGUAGUCCUAGCAGUAAACGGUGCACGCUUGGUAUGAGAGGAUUCGACCCCUUUCGUGCCGGAGCUAACGCGUUAAGCGUGCCGCCUGGGGAGUACGGUCGCAAGAUUUAAACUCAAAGAAAUUGACGGGGGCCCGCACAAGCGGUUGGAGUAUGGUGGCUUAAUUCGAUGCAACGCGAAGAACCUUACCUGGCCUUGACAUGUAUCUCUAAGUUGGUGAAAGCCAGCGAC